rnacentral:lncRNA from 1 species
AGACCUCUUGGAAAUGUCUGAAUUUUGGACUUGAUCCAGCUAUGCUGAAAUCAGUGGGAACUUUUCCAUCGACUUCAGUGAAAACAGGUCCCUUGGGAAGAGUCUGAACUGAGAUAUAUUGCUCUACUCAGCUGGUAAAAACCUUCUGGAAAACCAUCUCAUGGCAAUCUCGAGGUCUGCACCUCAGUGCGUAAUUUUUUAAGCUGCUGCUGUUACGACAAAACAACUGAGACAUAUGGAAGAAAUACAUCAGCCCUAGGAUUCUCCAGGUUUUCUGAAGAAAGAAAAUACAACACUUCGUUAUAAUAACUGCCGCUUCCAUUGAUAAAAGAUAUCCUGUCGUGCUAAUAGAUAGAUGAAUUAGCAGAUAUUAAAAAAUAAAAAAGCAGCUGAUAUGAGGCAGAUUCACAUGAAGAUGAAUAUGCUUGUUUAAUCUCUGGCACAUUGAGCUCGGGGCACUGUUUGUACCGUUUGCCAGCAAAACCUGUGUUGCGCUGCUGGUGGACUGAAGGGGGUCCUGAGAAGCUCGAGGUGAUGCUGAAAUGAGUUUCUCCUCUCUUUGUUCAAGAUGGCUACACAAAUUCAACCAAAGGUUUUGGAAGACUGCCACUAAUAUUUUGCCCAUUUAAA